GCUCAGAUUGAACGCUGGCGGCAGGCCUAACACAUGCAAGUCGAGCGGCAGCGGGAAAGUAGCUUGCUACUUUUGCCGGCGAGCGGCGGACGGGUGAGUAAUGCCUGGGGAUCUGCCCAGUCGAGGGGGAUAACAGUUGGAAACGACUGCUAAUACCGCAUACGCUCUACGGGGGAAAGGAGGGGGACUUCGGGCCUUUCGCGAUUGGAUGAACCCAGGUGGGAUUAGCUAGUUGGUGGGGUAAUGGCUCACCAAGGCGACGAUCCCUAGCUGGUCUGAGAG
rnacentral:rRNA from 1 species